GACGAACGCUGGCGGCGUGCUUAACACAUGCAAGUCGAACGGUGAAGCUCCAGCUUGCUGGAGUGGAUCAGUGGCGAACGGGUGAGUAACACGUGAGCAACCUGCCCCUGACUCUGGAAUAAGCGCUGGAAACGGCGUCUAAUACUGGAUACGAGAAGGGUCCGCAUGGGCACUUUCUGGAAAGUUUUUCGGUUGGGGAUGGGCUCGCGGCCUAUCAGCUUGUUGGUGAGGUAAUGGCUCACCAAGGCGACGACGGGUAGCCGGCCUGAGAGGGCGACCGGCCACACUGGGACUGAGACACGGCCCAGACUCCUACGGGAGGCAGCAGUGGGGAAUAUUGCACAAUGGGCGAAAGCCUGAUGCAGCGACGCCGCGUGAGGGAUGACGGCCUUCGGGUUGUAAACCUCUUUCAGCAGGGAAGAAGCGAAAGUGACGGGACCGGCAGAAGAAGCACCGGCUAACUACGU
rnacentral:rRNA from 1 species